UACAGAGGGUGCGAGCGUUGUUCGGAAUUAUUGGGCGUAAAGAGCGUGUAGGCGGCCCGGUAAGUCCGCUGUGAAAGUCGAGGGCUCAACCCUCGAAAUGCCGGCGGAUACUGUCGGGCUAGAGUCCGGAAGAGGCGAGUGGAAUUCCUGGUGUAGCGGUGAAAUGCGCAGAUAUCAGGAGGAACACCUACGGCGAAGGCAGCUCGCUGGGACGGUACUGACGCUGAGACGCGAAAGCGUGGGGAGCAAACAGG
rnacentral:rRNA from 1 species